rnacentral:lncRNA from 1 species
UCCGAUGGGCUGAGGAGUCGAGGCGGGCGUCGCCGCAGGAGGCAGCGCCAUCCGGGCAGCAGGAGGCGCCGAGGGCAAGGCCACCAGUCCGGCGACCGAGACAAGGACGAGGCAGGGACCAGCGGCGUCCUCCUUGGACCACCGCAACGAGAGCCAGGAACCAGCGGCGUCCUCUUUGGACCACCGCGACGAGAGACAGGAACCAGCGGCGUCCUCCUUGGACCACCGCGACGAGAGACAGGAACCAGCGGCGUCCUCCUUGGGCCACCGCGACGAGAGACAGGAACCGAAGCAGAUGCGGUCAGCGCCGGACCGCCAGGAACCGAUGCAGAUGCGGCCGGAGCCGGACCGCCAGGAACCGAUGCAGAUGCGGCCGGAGCCGGACCGCCAGGAACUGAUGCAGAUGCGGCGGGAGCUGCGACGGGAGCGACCCCCUCCUGGAGGUCCGCCGGGACUGCGGCGGGCGCGACCCCCUCCUGGAGGUCCGCCGGGACUGCGGCGGGCGCGACCCCCUCCUGGAGGUCCGCCGGGACUGCGGCGGGCGCGACCCCCUCCUGGAGGUCCGCCGGGACUGCGACGGGCGCGACCCCCUCCUGGAGGUCCGCCGGGACUGCGGCUGGCGCGACCUCCUCCUGGAGGUGCGCAGGAACUGCGGCUGGCGCGACCUCCUCCUGGAGGUGCGCAGGAACUGCGGCUGGCGCGACCUCCUCCUGGAGGUGCGCAGGAACUGCGGCUGGCGCGACCUCCUCCUGGAGGUGCGCAGGAACUGCGGCUGGCGCGACCUCCUCCUGGAGGUGCGCAGGAACUGCGGCUGGCGCGACCUCCUCCUGGAGGUGCGCAGGAACUGCGGCUGGCGCGACCUCCUCCUGGAGGUGCGCAGGAACUGCGGCUGGCGCGACCUCCUCCUGGAGGUGCGCAGGAACUGCGGCUGGCGCGACCUCCUCCUGGAGGUGCGCAGGAACUGCGGCUGGCGCGACCUCCUCCUGGAGGUGCGCAGAAACUGCGGCUGGCGCGACCUCCUCCUGGAGGUGCGCAGGAACUGCGGCUGGCGCGACCUCCUCCUGGAGGUGCGCAGGAACUGCAACUGGCGCGACCUCCUCCUGGAGGUGCGCAGGAACUGCAACUGGCGCGACCUCCUCCUGGAGGUGCGCAGGAACUGCAACUGGCGCGACCUCCUCCUGGAGGCGCGCAGGAACUGCGACUGGCGCGACCUCCUCCAGGAGGUGCGCAGAAACUGCGGCUGGCGCGACCUCCUCCUGGAGGUGCGCAGGAACUGCAGCAGGCGCCGCCUCCUCCUGGGGGCCGGCGGGCGCUGCGGCUCCAAGGGUGACGGGGACUGGAACGACCGCUACAGGGCCGACGGGAACGGGGACUGGAACGACCGCUACAGGGCCGUCAGGGACGGGGACUGGAACGACCGCUACAGGGCCGACAGGAACGGGGACUGGAACGACCGCUACAGGGCCGACAGGAACGGGGACUGGAACGACCGCUACAGGGCCGACGGGAACGGGAUCAGAGACAGGGGUGACCUCUACUUGGCCUACGGGAACGCCCUCAACUUGGCCUACGGGAAUGCCCUCAACUUGGCCUACGGGAACGCCCUCAACUUGGCCUACGGGAACGCCCUCAACUUGGCCUACGGGAACGCCCUCAACUUGGCCUACGGGAACGCCCUCAACUUGGCCUACGGGAACGCCCUCAACUUGGCCGACAGGGACAAGAACUGGAACGACCUCAACUGGGCCGACAGGGACAGGAACUGGAACGACCUCAACUUGGCCGACAGGGACAGGAACUGGAACGAGCUCAACUUGGUCGACAGAGACAGGAACUGGAACGACCUCAACUGGGCCGACAGGGACAGGAACUGGAAUGACCUCAACUUGGCCGACAGGGACAGAAACUGGAACGACCUUAACUUGGUCGACAGAGACAGGAACUGGAACGACCUCAACUGGGCCGACAGAGACAGGAACUGGAACGACCUCAACUUGGCCGACAGGGACAGGAACUGGAACGACCUCAACUUGGCCGACAGGGACAGGAACUGGAACGACCUCAACUUGGCCGACAGGGACAGGAACUGGAACGACCUCAACUUGGUCGACAGGGACAGGAACGACCUCAACUUGGCCGACAGGGACUGGAACGACCUCAACUUGGCCGACAGGAACAGGAACGGCAUCUACUUGGCCGACAGGAACAGGAACUGGAACGGCAUCUACUUGGCCGACAGGAACAGGAACUGGAACGGCAUCUACUUGGCCGACAGGAACAGGAACUGGAACGGCCGCAACAUGGCCGACAGGGACAGGGACUGGAACGGCCGCAACAUGGCCGACAGGGACUGGAACGGCCGCAACAUGGCCGACAGGGACUGGAACGGCCGCAACAUGGCCGACAGGGACUGGAACGGCCGCAACAUGGCCGACAGGGACUGGAACGGCCGCAACAUGGCCGACAGGGACUGGAACGGCCGCAACAUGGCCGACAGGGACUGGAACGGCCGCAACAUGGCCGACAGGGACUGGAACGGCCGCAACAUGGCCGACAGGGACUGGAACGGCGUCCCCUCCGGAGCUGGCAUGA